UACGUAGGGUGCAAGCGUUGUCCGGAAUUAUUGGGCGUAAAGAGCUCGUAGGCGGUCUGUCGCGUCGGCUGUGAAAACUCGGGGCUCAACCCCGAGCCUGCAGUCGAUACGGGCAGACUAGAGUGCUGUAGGGGAGACUGGAAUUCCUGGUGUAGCGGUGAAAUGCGCAGAUAUCAGGAGGAACACCGGUGGCGAAGGUGGGUCUCUGGGCAGUAACUGACGCUGAGGAGCGAAAGCGUGGGGAGCGAACAGG
rnacentral:rRNA from 1 species